UAUGUUGGCCUCGGGGCCUCCUGGACCCGCCAAGGGCUGCGGCCUCACAGGGCGACUGUGCGUUCAUCCCAGUCCUGCCAGCUCCCCACCCUCAUCCGUCAUCUCCCACUCAGGCUCCGGCGCCGCGGGAAUCUGCCGCCCGGCGGGUCGCUCUGCAAGCAUCGCGCCCGCGGGAAGGGCCGCAGAGAGCCGCAGUGCCUUCCGGACACAGAAGCCCGACCUUCCCUUGCUCAUUCUCAGGCGGCCUCCCCAGAGAGGGCAACCUUCAAAGUUAAGAAGGCACAGUCCCAGGACUGACCCCCCCAACCCCCACCCUGGGCUGAAGACCUCCUCUCGCUUCCCAGGGGCGGCAAAGAAGGUUCGCCUGGGAUUGAGAGGAGAGGACGACAUGGGUCGGGGACAGGGCAGGGAGCAGUGCCCUGGAAGAAAGUAAAGCCCAGGACACAGCGGGGCUAACGCAGGCUACGACUGCUAAACCGCAAGCCCCACCAUUGUCUCUAGAUCCUCAAGGGAGAGGAUUGUUCUGCAGCCACAGAGACCAGAAUAGUGCCUGGCAUGCUGAAGGUCUCCAUGAGUGCCAUCUGCUGGGAACUGAAUCCAAAAUCCUGUGCCUACCCCAAAGUGGCCAUUUCUCCAGCAGGUCAGAAAAAGUGACUAUUUGUUCAUUUACUCAUUCAACAAAUACUUAUUGAAUACCUACUCCAACCAGAACUUCUGCUAGGGAUGAACAAGAUCCCAGGGUCCUGUCCUUACGGAGACUACAUUCUUGCAGACUGUAAUCCUGAGGGGUGACACAGCUAUUAUCACAGAGCCCUCUCUGACCAUUGGACAUAAAAUCACACUCAACCCUCUUCCUUGGCUGAAGUUUUCUUCACAGCACUUAUCAUUGCAGGGUGUAUUAUUGACUUUGUGUUUGGUUUAUUAUAUACUUUAUGUCCAUCUUCCCACACAAAAUGUAUCCUCUUUGAGAGUAAUUUGUCUACGGGGUUUACUGCUGGGUCCCUAGCACCAUGCGUAGCGCACAGUAGGUACUCAAUAAGUACAUCACAAAACAAUUCAUUCAAUGAACUCUGCAGUCAUCUAGAACUUCCUUGCAGAAAUCUCCAGUGAAUAAGUGAGAAAAACUCCGGGGGGUUAUAACAAAUUAUAACUGUCCAGGGCUUUAUAAAGCAAGGAGGUGCAUGGGCCUUCGCCUCCCAGAGCCCUGAUUUCCUCCUUCUAAAAUAGGGAUAAUAAUACCUCGCCCCACUGCCCGGGGCAGAAUUCCAAAUACGGUACCUUAUCUGUCACCCCAGGCUGGCGACUCUGGCAGGAAAGCACAUCUCAGAAGGGUCUUGGCAUUCUCCCUCCACUCUCGCUUGGACAUGCUGCCUUUUCAGUUGUCAUACCGCCAUUGCUGUGGGAAAAAAAGAGGUCUGGGGACACAGGAACCUGGAGAGAGGAUUGUGCACUUCGUUCCUAGGUGAAGAACAAAUCCCCUUUGCUCCCCACCACCAGCCCAUUCUGCAGCUUCUCCCAGGGCUUCUCCCAAUUUUCCCCAAGCUCCCAUUUUUCUAAUGCCUCAGGGACCUCCAGCCUUCCAGCAUCUAAGCUGAUGGGGAUUCUGGUCCAAUGGAGUGGGAUGGGCCAUGAGACUCAUUAGCAUAAACGAAUCAGGAAAUUUCUCAUAGUUCAGAGGUCCUCAGAACUCUAAUUAGACUAUGAAGACUAAUAGUAAUUGAACUUCCUAAAAAUAACAACUUCUAAAAUAUAUAAUAGUGUUGUAAUUCAUUGAACAUCUCAGUUCCAGUCAGUGUGUGAGGCAAUUUACAAAUAUCCAAUCCUGACAACAACCCAGAAAGGCAGAUGUUCUAAUUCCCAUUUUAUAGAUGAAAAAGUCAAAACCCAGGGAGAUGAAUGAUUGGGUUGGAGGUCAUGUAGCUACUAAGUGAUGAAGUCCCAGGAUUUAAACCAAGGUCUGUCUGCCUUCAAAGCUCAUGCUCCUUUGCCACAUGAAAACAUGGGAUGAGAGUGGGGGUGCCAGUUAUAUGCACUAGGACACCUAUCCCAGCAUCACUCCGAAGAAAUUGGGAGCAUCCUAAGAAAUACAAAAAUAGGGGAAUAGUUAUAUGAAUUAUAGUGAGUAUAGCCAGUAGAAUAUUUUACAAUUAUUGAAAAUAAUACAAACAAUGUAAUGACAUAGAAAAGUACUUAAUGACAAAUGGAAAAUCUAGGCUAUAAAAUGUAUGUCCAUAGAGACUACAAUUCAUAAAUAAACAUGAAGUGUAAAGAUGCA